ensembl:lncRNA
UUAUAACACUGCAUUGCAUUGGUGUCGUUAACAAAAAACUGGCUAUCGCUAACAUUACAUGGAGCAUAAUAGCUGGUUUCACGGCUUCAAUGCCAGCUGCCUCAAACAAACAUAAUAUAGGACCGUCUUUCAGGUGCUUCGCCAAAUUCCAGGUGUUUCCUUGCUUUGUUUGAAAUGAACGAUAGCAUCGGUUGCCGGUGUGCUUUCCUCUUUUUACCUCUCAACAAGUCAGGGCGGAGCUAAACUUGCUAAGCUAAGCUAAACUUCUGUAGUUUUUCCCGUGUGCUUGUAGGCGUUGUUCUUCUUCUUCACCACUUUUGGACUGACUAAAACACUUGGGCCUAUUUGCUGCCCCCUUCAGUUCCGGAAGAAUUGCAACCUCAGUACCUUCAUUAUCAAGGGUACUUAUACUACUGCAGAAAAAGAAGUACCAUCACGUUUUAAGAAUGUUGGUACUGACUUGGUACCGAAGUAUCGGUUCUCGUGACAGCCCUAAUAAGGAAAACAUAUCUUAUAUUAGGACCAAUAUGGUAAUGUUGACCCCUAGAUGCGUAACAUAGCAUGGGUACCAUGUGUAGCGGUAAUUAGCAUUUCAUAGCCCCAUAAGCCAUAUUAGAAUUAGUAAUGAGUUUUAUGUUCAAUAAACAUUGACGAUCUUAGAAUUUUGAUUUACUAACUAUAUCUACAUUUCCUAUACUAACUCAAUACUAAUUUCCAAAAGAGCAUCGUGAACAGAAGUAUCCCUUGCACCCAGUGGUGGCAUGAAGUGUAGCAGAUGAUACUCCUUGUAAAUAAAUGAAAAGUUCAAAUCAUGAGAGACCAGUGAAUGAAGUAAAGAUAAUUGUUCAUUGAACAAAUGAUGGAGAUGAUCACAAACAAGCAAGCCUAUUUGGAGCAUGUGGGGUGGCUGGUGAGGUCAUCGCUUAUAACUUAAUGUCUAAUAUUUUAAAAACGUAGGGGAAGACUCAGAGCUGUUAUCUUGGCAAAGGGAGGUAGCAUACAGUAUUGACUAACAGGGUUUAAUAAUUUUGCACACCUUUAUUUAACAAAGUUUUUUUUUUUUUUGAUAAACCUGUGUUUUGUUUGCAAUUGUUUGAUAUCCAUAAGAGCAGAGGGUUUUUUGUGAAUUCUUUGAACAAAAGAUCGGUGUUAAGCAAUAAAGACAAUUUUUCAUAGCCUUCUUUGCUCAUAUUUACCAAUAUUAGUGGAGGGAACGGUACAUGUGCAAAAAAAGGUGCAUGUGCAAUGUAAACAUGGAAAAAUGUGUAUGUAUUAAUAUUUACAUUUUGUAAUCAAAUAUAAAUACUAACAAUUUGUACAUCCUGAAACUUCUAUUACAAGAAUUUUUAUUAAGCACUUAGUAGCAUCUGUCUGUUUCUGUGGUUAAAAUUUAAGUGAUAUUCUAGUGGUCAUAUAGCACUCUAUGUGGAAAAUGGGGGCUUCUCACACAUGUGUUAAAAGAACUCUUUAUUCAUUCCUGAGUUGUAGUGCAGUAUUGUAAAGUGUUACUGAUUUUUUAGUUUUAUUAGUCUGCAAUCUGAAUUAACAUCGGCAAGUCAAUGUAGCAGCAAUGUAGUAGGGAAUAAAAAUGUACUUUUACUGUUAGUCCCAGAAUCAAACUCGGUGUUUACUCAGGUAAGCUGGUUGCACACUGUGCGAUUUUUAAAAGUCCUUCGCAACUCUUGCUUGUCAGACUGUACGAACAUCAUCCCUGCUGUAAGUCAUGUCACACUGUAGGAUCUCGGUUGUCAUUAAUUUCAGACUGUAUGACAGUCAAGACACGAAAAACAGAUGCACGCAAGAAAACUCGUACGGAGUAGGAGAAGCCACACUACAGGAUGGUGCCUCAAAUCUUCUGACACUACCAGAAUUUAAUCUGAGGAAAAAUUUUAUCACUACGGCCAUUAAUUGGCUAAAAGGCUGAAAUGCAGCAUUUCAGAGCAAAACUAUGAAGGCUUAAGCACAAACUCCUCCUUUUCAGUAGUUAUUACUGCUGAGGAAUUUACUGCUUUUCAAAUAUUAAAAAUAAAUUUAAUAUCAUGCCUCUGCAUAAACAAGUGCAACUGGAAAUACAUUGGGGGUGGGGCUCAUGAAACAUGUUGGGCAAGAGAACAGAUAAACAAGCUAGUACAGUUCAGAUUAAUUAAAAGGUCCAAAUGCUGCAGGUUACAUGAAAACAAAGUAAAA